CAAUAGCGUAUAUUAAAGUUGUUGCAGUUAAAAAGCUCGUAGUUGGAUUUCUGGUGGGAGCGAUCGGUCUGGCGCUUAGCGCGAGUACUUGCAUCGUCUCCGGCCAUCCUUGGGGAGAGUCUGUCUGGCAUUAGGUUGUCGGGCAGAGGAUCCUCAUCGUUUACUGUGAAAAAAUUAGAGUGUUCAAAGCAGGCUUAUGCCGUUGAAUAUAUUAGCAUGGAAUAAUAAGAUAGGACUUUGGUACUAUUUUGUUGGUUUGCGCACCAAAGUAAUGAUUAAUAGGGACAGUUGGGGGUAUUCGUAUUCCGUUGUCAGAGGUGAAAUUCUUGGAUUAACGGAAGACGAACUACUGCGAAAGCAUUUACCAAGGAUGUUUUCAUUAA
rnacentral:rRNA from 1 species